ACUGCUCAGUAACACGUGGAUAACCUGCCCUUGGGUCCGGCAUAACCCCGGGAAACUGGGGAUAAUUCCGGAUAACGCACAUAUGCUGGAAUGCUUUAUGCGUCAAAUGGAUUCGUCUGCCCAAGGAUGGGUCUGCGGCCUAUCAGGUAGUAGUGGGUGUAAUGUACCUACUAGCCGACGACGGGUACGGGUUGUGAGAGCAAGAGCCCGGAGAUGGAUUCUGAGACAUGAAUCCAGGCCCUACGGGGCGCAGCAGGCGCGAAAACUUUACAAUGCGGGAAACCGUGAUAAGGGGACACCGAGUGCCAGCAUCAUAUGCUGGCUGUCCAGGUGUGUAAAAUACACCUGUUAGCAAGGGCCGGGCAAGACCGGUGCCAGCCGCCGCGGUAACACCGGCGGCCCGAGUGGUGAUCGUGAUUAUUGGGUCUAAAGGGUCCGUAGCCGGUUUGGUCAGUCCUCCGGGAAAUCUGAUAGCUCAACUAUUAGGCUUUCGGGGGAUACUGCCAGACUUGGAACCGGGAGAGGUAAGAGGUACUACAGGGGUAGGAGUGAAAUCUUGUAAUCCCUGUGGGACCACCUGUGGCGAAGGCGUCUUACCAGAACGGGUUCGACGGUGAGGGACGAAAGCUGGGGGCACGAACCGGAUUAGAUACCCGGGUGGUCCCAGCCGUAAACGAUGCUCGCUAGGUGUCAGACAUGGCGCGACCGUGUCUGGUGCCGCAGGGAAGCCGUGAAGCGAGCCACCUGGGAAGUACGGCCGCAAGGCUGAAACUUAAAGGAAUUGGCGGGGGAGCAC
rnacentral:rRNA from 1 species